rnacentral:rRNA from 1 species
UGUGGUGGCGAUAGCGAGAAGGAUACACCUGUAACCAUGCCGAACACAGAAGUUAAGCUUCUUAGCGCCGAUUGUAGUGAGGGGUUG